AAGUCGUAACAAGGUUUCCGUAGGUGAACCUGCGGAAGGAUCAUUAUAGAGAUCCUGCCCUCACGGGUAGACCUCCAACCCUGUGUAUUUAUACCUUGUUGCUUCGGCAGGCCGCCUAGGCUUCGGCUUAGCCACGGGCUUCGGCUCGUGAGUGCCUGCCAGAAGACACCAAAACUCUUAAUAUAAUUGUCGUCUGAGUAAAAACUUAAUAGUUAAAA
rnacentral:misc_RNA from 1 species